CAGGAGGCUUCUGCAGCACAAACAGCACGUGAGUUUUCCGCCCUCUGGGAAAAGAUUGAAGGUUUUAAACCUGAGCAAGUUUGGUUUGUUCCCCAGGAGCCGUGGCUCCACCAUCCAGCAUUGAGAAUAAGGCAGAAAGUGCAAAUGAGAACUGAACUCCGAUCCGCCCGGCCCACAGUGUCGCUGCAGUGAA